rnacentral:rRNA from 1 species
AGAGUUUGAUCAGUGGCUCGAGGACGAACGCUGGCGGCGUGCCUAACACAUGCAAGUCGAGCGGAGACAUACGACGGAGUGGAAGUUUUCGGACGGAAGCGAAGAUGUAUGUUUUAGCGGCGGACGGGUGAGUAACGCGUGAGCAACCUGUCCUUCACGAGGGGGAUAACACAGCGAAAGUUGUACUAAUACCGCAUAAGACCACAGAGCGACAUCGCACAGGGGUCAAAGGAGCAAUCCGGUGAAGGGUGGGCUCGCGUCCGAUUAGAUAGUUGGUGAGGUAACGGCCCACCAAGUCGACGAUCGGUAGCCGACCUGAGAGGGUGAUCGGCCACAUUGGAACUGAGAGACGGUCCAAACUCC